rnacentral:rRNA from 1 species
UACGAAGGGUGCAAGCGUUACUCGGAAUUACUGGGCGUAAAGCGUGCGUAGGUGGUUCGUUAAGUCUGAUGUGAAAGCCCUGGGCUCAUCCUGGGAAUGGCAUUGGAUACUGGCGACCUAGAGUGCGGUAGAGGGGUGUGGAAUUCCCGGUGUAGCAGUGAAAUGCGUAGAUAUCGGGAGGAACAUCUGUGGCGAAGGCGACACCCUGGACCAGCACUGACACUGAGGCACGAAAGCGUGGGGAGCAAACAGG